rnacentral:rRNA from 1 species
AGAAUCAACGCUGGCGGCGUGCCUAACACAUGCAAGUCGAUCGAGAAAGUGGAGCAAUCCAUGAGUAAAGAGGCGCACGGGUGAGUAACACGUGACUAACCUACCCUCGAGUGGGGAAUAAACCUGGGGAAACCCGGGCUAAUACCGCAUAAUACCCACGGGUCAAAGGAGCAAUUCGCUUGAGGAGGGGGUCGCGGCAGAUUAGUUAGUUGGCGGGGUAAUGGCCCACCAAGACGAUGAUCUGUAUCCGGCCUGAGAGGGCGCACGGACACACUGGAACUGAAACACGGUCCAGACUCCUACGGGAGGCAGCAGUGGGAAUUUUGCGCAAUGGGGGAAACCCUGACGCAGCAACGCCGCGUGGAGGAUGAAGUCCCUUGGGACGUAAACUCCUUUCGACCGGGACGAUAAUGACGGUACCGGAUGAAGAAGCCCCGGCUAACUUCGCGCCAGCAGCCGC